rnacentral:rRNA from 1 species
ACGAACCGGACAAACGUUAUUCGGAAUCACUGGGCUUAAAGGGUACGUAGGCGGCGCGGAAAGUUGGGUGUGAAAUCCCUCGGCUCAACCGAGGAAUAGCGCUCAAAACUGCCGUGCUAGAGGGAGACAGAGGUGAGUGGAACUUAGGGUGGAGCGGUGAAAUGCGUUGAUAUCCUAAGGAACACCAGUGGCGAAAGCGACUCACUGGGUCUCUUCUGACGCUGAGGUACGAAAGCUAGGGGAGCGAACGGG